rfam:halophilic archaeon J07HX64 genomic scaffold scf_7180000098875, whole genome shotgun sequence.
GACGGGAACGUACGGCCGCAACUCCGACGUGCCGCCCGCUUGGGCGGCUUGGGAUUGCGGCGGUGU